rnacentral:rRNA from 1 species
CCUACGGGAGGCAGCAGUGAGGAAUAUUGGUCAAUGGGCGAGAGCCUGAACCAGCCAAGUCGCGUGAAGGAUGAAGGAUCUAUGGUUUGUAAACUUCUUUUAUAUGGGAAUAAAGUGAGGAACGUGUUCCUUUUUGUAUGUACCAUAUGAAUAAGCAUCGGCUAACUCCGUGCCAGCAGCCGCGUUAAUACGGAGGAUGCGAGCGUUAGCCGGAUUUAUUGGGUUUAAAGGGUGCGUAGGUGGUUAAUUAAGUCAGCGGUGAAAGUAUGUGGCUCAACCAUAAAAUUGCAGUUGAAACUGGUUGACUAGAGUAUAUUUGAGGUAGGCGGAAUGCGUGGUGUAGCAGUGAAAUGCAUAGAUAUCACGCAGAACUCCGAUUGCGAAGGCAGCUUACUAAGCUAUAACUGACACUGAAGCACGAAAGCGUGGGGAUCAAACAGGAUUAGAUACCCCUGUAGUC